rfam:Ictidomys tridecemlineatus contig039482, whole genome shotgun sequence.
UGGGUUGUGGCUCAGUGGUAGAGUGCUUGCCUGUUACACGUGAGGCACUGGGUUCGAACCUCAGUACCACAU